rnacentral:lncRNA from 1 species
GGCCCCCUCCUCAUGGGUCAGCUCAGCCCCUCGGGACUCACCAGCCCCCUCCUCACAGGUCAGCUCGGCCCAUCGAGCCUUCAGCCAGCGAGACCCACUGUUCUGAGAAGGCAGCCGCAGAAGGAGAAACACAAGUAGCCUUAAUUCAAGAAAGAGUACCCCGUGCAGUGGAACAAUCAAGGACUUCAAAACUCCAUUUCAAUUUCAAGCUCACUCUCCUAUCCAGUCAAUCCUAAGGGAAUAUCAGUCCUGAAUAUUCAUUGGAAAGACUGAUGCUGAAGCUGAAACUCCAGUACUUUGGCCACCUGAUGCGAAGAACUGACUCCUUGGAAAAGACCCUGAUGCUGGGAAAGAUU